rnacentral:lncRNA from 1 species
GGAGAAGGAAGAAAUCUGUAAUUAUCUCUUGGUCCUGCAGCAAUAGUUUCUCUUGCGGGCGCCUACGAUCACACUUCAAAAUCCGUCUGUCGGUGACCUUAACAUCAAACCUGCAGCGAUUCUCAAUAGGUAAUGCCAUUCGGAUAGCAACCUUACUGUUUAGGAUAUUAUUAGUGCUGCCCGUGUCGAUGAAAACAGUGAUCAGUUGUUGUUUGAGAAGGCCUCCAACUUUCAUCAUUUGCGGGUUUGAGUAGCCGACUAGUGCAUGU